GCCCCUGUAGCUCAGUCGGUAGAGCACGUCCUUGGUAAGGACGAGGUCACAGGUUCAAGUCCUGCCGGGGGCU
rnacentral:tRNA from 1 species